AGAGCAAUUGUAACAAAUCCUCGUCUUUACAAGACAUGCUAGUUGCCAUGACGACCUCCCCUCCUCCUCCUUUACCUGCUCCCUAAUUUUCCGGCCUAGACAAUGGUUAUAUCUUAUAUGUACAAGAUUGUCCACUGAAAAUAAUGCCUAUGUGCGGAAACCAGUUAUGCAAUGAGAGUAAUAUACUGCAGCAGUUGUUGCUGAGUAUUUUGGUUUGGCAAAUCGCAUUUGAACCUUUACUAGCAAUUGUUGGGAGAGCGAUGAAAUGACUCGCAAGCGCAGAUGCUCCGGAAAUCUGAGUGGUACAGCUUAGCUUGGGAUCUGUGUCAGUUAACUCUUUGUCACAUAUACGUUUUAGAAUACAGAGGUGAAUACAUCUGCAGAUGGGCUAUGCUGGACCGUAGUACUCAGUCCUCGCACGUCUCCUCUCUUCAAGUCCAUUGAUCUCCCAUGCAAAAUAAAAUAAAAUAAGUCCAUCGAUCUCUCGCUUAAAAAGAGUCCUAUGGCUGUCGUCGUUCACCACUCCUCGAUGUUGAAGCUGUCGUCAUUGCCGCCUCCUCUGCCACCAUCAUUGCCGCCACCGUCGUCCUCCUCGUCGCUUUGAGAGGACGAUGAUGUUCGCCCCGCCGUCCGCUCGCUCCUCGUAGAGCUUGUGCUCUGCCUCUACUAGCUCACAGUACUUUUGGCGGUAGUCGGCCAUGUACGCCUCAUCGGCGGCCUCCGGCUCAAGCCACCGCAGCGUUCACCACUCUCGGCAGCAGCGGAUCGAGCAACGACAUCUCGCCCCACACAAAGUUCAGGCGGUCAUCGACGCCGUGCAGCCGGACCGACCAAAGGUUGUACUCGCAGGCGGCAAGCUCGGCGGUGUGAAACAACCCAAGCCAAAGCUUCUUGUGCGUGUACCGAUCGGUGAUUUCAGCCACCCACAUCCCCCACGCCUGCUGCCAAACUCCAUGGUACUUCCUCUGUGGCAAAGACGGCACAAGGAGAUCAGGGAAGCCGGCGAGCCGGCCUGCAGUGCCGCAGUGGCAGCGGCGUGACGAGGGCGCGCCUACGCUGUGCUUGUGGUGGUGCGGAUCCACACUGUGGAUGGGCGGCGGGGAAUGGCGACCAUGUGAUUCGGCCAUGGCGGCAGCGGUGGGGGUGCUGGAACGCAGGGAUUAGGGAGGAGGAGAGGCAAACAAGGCGUGGGGAGUUUUACUCCGAGGCCGAGCGGUGGAGUAUAUUUACUCACCGGUUAAGUGGUGGAGUAAAUUUUAUACUCCUCUAUGGAUGUUGGAAGAUCGGCUAGGUCCUGGUUAGAGUUAAACCGGAGUUUUACUCUUCUAACCGGUUUUAGGGGAUCGGCUAGAGUUGCUCUUAGCCGCUAUCUCAUAGGAACCGACUGAUAAUCUAGAGGAUGUUGUCAAAAAGCCACCUUCUUCUAGAACCAUGCUCACAGAAUAUUUUUGGAUGAACCAGAAGGAUCCUUACGCGAAGUACUUCUUGUACAAAGAGUUCCCAGAAUUCUUCUGGUGUAUUAAGAAUAAGAAAAGGCGGCAAAGAGGAAAACAAAGGGUACAAGUUGAUAAAAAUUGUGUAUGCGAAGCCAGCUUAAGGCGAAAGAUACUUCUUCAGAGUCCUCCUUAGUCAUUUAAGAGGUGCGACUUAAUACGAUGGUUUGAAAAUUGUAAAUGGAAAGCUCUGCUUCACCUUUAGAGAAGCGUGUGAGCAGAAAGACCUCAUAGAGAUUGACAAUACCCUUGAUGAUUGCCUGGGUUAGGUUGCUACUUUCCAGAUGCCUUGUUAUCUAAGGUCUUUUGUGACUAUUAUGGUGUUCUAUGAGGAGACUAACAUUAGAGAAUUACUAGAUCAUGAAUGGCGCGCGUUGCUGCGCCCGUUCAUUUUAACAAUAGAAUGGCAGGAAUUUUCAUCAAGUACAGACCAAAAAAUAAUGAUAUGUUAAAUUUUCAUGGCCUCACAUACUAAAAUAUGUAUUUUGCCGUGAGCAUCCAUAUUGAGAAAAGAACGUUGAAAUGUUUAGAAAAUAUGAACAGUACAAACAUUCAAUAUUUUGUAAUUUUACGUACACUUGCUCAAUAUAGAUGGUGCAUCCAUAUUUCAACUUAGAAUGGAUCCACUCAUAUAAAUAUUAUUUAUAUCACCUUCACAACACAUGGUGACAAUAUUUUUAUGAACUACCGCAAAGAAAUCCAGCAAACUUCAAAAAUAAACCGAGAUGCAUGAAAUUUUUCAAUAUUUGGCAACAAUCCACUGCAAAACUGAAUCACAAUAACUCUGCAACAAAGGGUACAUCAUUGGUUCAGUGUAAGAAUAUGCUUAAUUUUAAGAACACAUCCCAUAUUCUAUAAAGCUCUCUUGUUAUACUUGGUCAAAAAAGAGCACAACAUCAAGUUGAAGGUUUUUAAGUAACUGAGACAAAACACAAAAGAAAAAUAUUGCAUAAAAGCAUUAUAACCAUACCACAAUGAUUGUCGUAGGAGUGAAGCCCUUGUCUUUAACCUGUCAACUAAUUGUACAGAACUUUCGUCUCUCCAUCCGGUCGCUGUCAUUAUAGAUACUUCAAGUUUGCUAUAUAUGAGGCACCCAUAACUAAUUACUGGAAUUCCUUUGACGCACCUGCAGAUGAAAUGGUAGUAAACAAGUUUGAUCCUCCGUGUGAGGUUAUAUCAUGUUUAUGUCCCAAAUGUGGACUCGUACCAUAUUUAAGAAUUUCAUAUAUAUAUUACCUACAAAUGUUUCAAAUGUUUUUUAUAAUGAAAUUACUACCCGAUAUGGAUUGGCUUAGUAAGUAAGAAAGGGAUAAUGGGGAUGAAAGAAGAUGAUUGUUGAUAACUUGCAACAUCAUGUCAAUAUUCUACAUCUUCCAUACAGCAAUAUGCAUUAUAGUGUUUAUGUUGAGCAUAAGGCAGUGGGGCAAUUAGCCAUUUUCUGAAGUUACCCACUUCAGAAGUUAUUUGGUUUGAUUUUCGUAUCAGUAAUCACGCAUAUAAUAAUUCCUUGGAGUUCCUUCCAAUUCACCACCUGCUAUGUACUUCUGCAAAAAAAACAUGGUAAGCAUGCAAAGACAUGAGAAAGAAAGAAAAUAUUAAACAUCAAGGAUAAUAGACUAACAUAACUGCUACAUCACUUAUAUUAUUUUUAAUUCAGUAAUUUUCGUACAAAACAUUGGUGGAACAACCUUAGUUCAUCAAAAUAAUUGUCGUAUUGUUAAGAAGUGCCAAGGUAUUCGAUACUUUCUCUAAAGCCCAUAAUAUUUUCCUUUGCGCUGCAAUAACCUGAAUAUAGUGCUGGAAUUUAGUCUAUUUUGGGACAGCCUAAUAGCAAUUUCAGAAAUUCCUAAUAAAUCCUAGAGGCCCACUUAGCCCAUUCGUGCAAGGCAAGGGGUACUACUAAAGUUUAGUCCCACAUUGCUAGUUUAGUGGGAGUUGGACCUCCUUAUAAUGGAGGUUGUUUCCCCACAUGUAUGAGCAUGAGAACAAGAGGGACAUCCAUGCGCGCUCCUCCUCCGCCGUCCGCCUCGCCACGCCACGCCACGCCACGCCACGCCUCGUCAUGACGCGGGUUGCGGGAAUGAGCCGAGUUGAAACACUGCACCCUUCGGCUGCUGCCUAUUUGUUUUGUCUCCCUCUUUCCCUUCAGCUCCCGACACAGCCUAUUCGCCUCCUUCUUUUGUGCCUAUAAAAGGGAGGUCGCUCCUCUCCAGAGAGACACACCAGAAGAUCAUCUCCCUCUCGCCACCGAAUUCCAAACUCUGAGCUGCUGCUACGAUCUUCACCAUCCUGGCUUGCGGCGUGCACCGCUGGUCGGGAGAGUAGGCCUUCGAAACCCCACCUCUUCGAGUCCUGUACAGGAGAAGGGCGAUAAGGUUUUUGGGGAGCGCUCUGCACGACUACUGACCGGUUCAUCAUGGAUGCUCCGGACACCGACGACCACUUCCCCAACGACGACUUCUUCCCCGACGUCGACAACCUCUUCGACAACAUGGCUGGCGAGGAUGUCGACCCCAAGACCAAUGCUUCUGUUGCUGUUCCGUACAUAUUCAUGCUCUUUCUGUUUGAGGUUCUGCCACAGUUUCUUGCUCUAGUGUCCGCUCUAGAUAUGUUCGGUUCUAGUUCAUAUAUGCAGAUGCUAUUUAUCUUAUCUUCGUAAGAUUGCAUGACUUGUUUUAUCUCUGCUAUAAUAGUCAUGUUUUAUCUACUAUUUCUGUUAAUAAAAUCACUUGAUAAGAAUUGAGAAGAUUUAUCAUAAGAAUUGACAAGAUUUAUCAUGAAAUGUACCCCUCUGUCCAUACAUAUAAGAUGUUUUUGCAGUUUAGUAGAUCCUACUGUCAAGCAAGGCUAAAAAAAUAGCCAAAGCUUGGGAGGGACUCCCUUUAAAUUACAUGCAACAUGAUUGGCAUAAGAAAGGUUAAGUUUUAUCAUCAAAUUGUGGUCUGACUGUCAAGAAAGAAGAAGAAAAAAGAUCCAUAAGUCACGUCAUUGCAUCAGGUUCCAUUUAAUUAACUGAAAUAAAAUUUAUUAAGCAUGAUCCGUUUACCGGUUGAACUGUUAGAACUAAUAACCAAACCAUGCUAACAUCAAUAACAAAGGAAAAGAAUAGUUGUGAUUUUCGUACAAGGAGAAAAAUUAACUUGGAGAAUAAUUUUGGUUGUCAUGAAGUUGUCUUAUCGUUCAACCAACCAUGAAGUUAUGCCAAUUUAAGAGGACGGAAUGGAACUAAGGCAUAAUGCAGUCAUUAAAUUUUAAAAGAACAUGAUCCCUUUAUUGUAUUAUUUAGUUAACUAUGUGAUUUGGAGUAAUUUAAGCCUCUCAACACUGUGAGUACCGGGAAUAAAAAUAUGCAUCUCAUUAGUUAUUUCCUUCUUUCUUUAAUUUGGGAGUUCGAUCUGAAACGCACUUCAGAUUCUUGCCAACAUACAUUUGUAUGUGAAGAUAGUUAUGACAAUACGCAGGUUUUACUACUUGUCUUAAUGGCCUGGAAUAUCUCAAGCGGGGAGGGAGGCAAAUACUCUACUUUCAGCGGUAAGCAUAUAUUAGAAAAUCCUAGAUACUCUGCAUAGAGGUAACCUACUUUCUUCGUUGACAAUCUGGACAUAGGUGCCAUCACACGAACACAUAUAUGAGAAAAUCCUACUUUGUCUAGUAGUAGACUACUUCCUUGUGGACAUGGUGCCGAUCCGACGAAGACACAACUACGUACAAGUCAAUAGCAACAUGUGGUACUAUUCUUGUUUCUUAAGCGAGGAGAAGGUCGACUAUAUCAUCCCAAUAGUAGUUCUAGUAAGCUUAGAAAGGAGAAACCAAACAGAGAAGCACAUUGCAAGUUAGGGACAACAAAAGAAAAUACAACACAACUACACAAGCAUGACAACUAUGAUCUACGGAUGAAUUACCUGAACCUUGAACUGGUUGCUACCCUAACUUUAUCUACAGCUCCAAGAUGACCUGAAAGAGGCAAUUCAUGAUUAGAUAUUGUGCAGGGAGUGUAAGAGAGGAUGACACAGGAGAGGGGAAGAGAGGAGUUUCUACUCGGUGGCGUUUACAGACAAGGGAGAGGGAGAUGGAGGUGGGUGUCACUCACCUGCAUCAGAUGAUGGCGAGGCCAGGGCGGUGAGAUCACAUCGCGGGGAGGGGCGCACGGAGUCCAGGUCGCGGAGUGUCAGAGAUUUGCAGUGGAGUUCCAUCGGUGUCGAAAUGAAUCAUGCGCGGAAAGCCGGCGACGAGGGGGCUGUGAGAUCAAAGAACAUGGCAGCAGCGGUUGGCGUAGUUAGGUCGUGCGUGAGGGAGUUCUCGGCAGCGUCCAUGCAAGGGCCGAAGGAGUGUCGUGUUUUUUAGUAAAACAACAUGCUUUAUUCAAUGUUCAAACUGAUAGGGAUACAUAGGUGAUCUAGAGGAAUACCUAGCCAGACAUGUCUACCCACCUCUAAACUAGUUGCCAUCCUAGCAGGAUUACGGGGUUCACUAUUUACACGGACACUGUUUGAAGCUAAACGGACACUCUUGAAAGUGUGGAACUCUAUCAAUAAUAUCUCUGAGGAUCAUUCCAUAAGGGCCCAGAUAAACCCUUUCUUGAAGCUCAUUCACGACUCUCAGAGAGUCGAAUGCAACACUAAUCUUGUUAAGAUGCAGGUCCUCAACUAGAGCCAUGGCCUCCCUGCAUGCAUGAGCUUCGAGCGUUGCCGGCUCCGUCACACCGGCUAGCCCCACUGCCCAUGCGCCCAGAAAUAGUCCCUCGUCAUUCCUACAGACAACUCCGACCGCUCCCUUGUUCGUUGUCUUAGCUACAACUCCAUCGGCAUUAAGUUUCACCAUGCCUGGACCUGGCCGAAGCCACCUUGCAGGCUCCCUCCUUGUUGUAGCAAUGGACCGAGCUGGUGAUGCUGCUUUGCUGCAGUAUUCAACCUCCUCAAUGUAUCGCCUGAUGAAUAAGUUUGUGGACCAUCGGCUUUGGAAUUCCCCCUCAUGAAUUACUCGACGCCGAGCCCACCAUAUCGCCCAAAAGGUGACCAGGACCUCCACAAAGAUGGCGUUGUCCAGCCUCGCGCUUAACCCAAACAGCCAUAACUUUGCAUCAUCUGUUUCAUCCCCAAACACCGGGAUUCAAGCGUCGUUCUCAAGCAGCACCCAAACGCUCUUUGCCAAAUUACAGUCAAGUAAUGCGUGUCUCCAGGAGUCAGCGCUGCGUUGCAAAUAGGACAUGCAGCUGAUUGUGCCAUCUUACGAUCCUUCCUGACCUCACCCGUGGGAAAAUAUGCCCUUGCUAAUCUCCAAGCGAAUACUUUCAAUUUGGCAGGGACUCUUGCCUUCCACAGAGCUGACACCAAUUCUUCUCCUCAUUCUCUCUAUUUGAGUUUUCUGUAGCUCCAUACAUCCAAUCCUCACGCUGCAACUUAGUCUCUACUAGCAUCAUGUAUGCCAAUCUCACCAACAGUCAGCCUGAUUAGCCAAACUAAGCAGGACCUGUUGGAUAGCGUCCACAUCCAUUGGAAGGAAGUGUGACUGAAGCUCCUGUAUGUUCCAUUCCUUCGACGCAGCAUGCAUGAAGUCGCAGACUCUAUCAUAUUUUUUUAGGGGUAAAGCCAAGUUUAUUCAUGAAAGUCCACAUGGAGUGGGAUACAUCUCUGGUCAUGAGGCACUCCAAACCAAACGUGGCGUCCCGGACCUGUAGAAAGCGAAAACUUGGCUAAGCUAUGUGCUUCAUAAUUAACAACACGACUCUCAAAAGAAAAUUUACACUGAAAAGUAGAUGACCUAAGAAUUAUCUCCUCAAUGAUCGCUCCAUAUGUCCCAUGUGACUUCCUGUUGAUAUCUGAUACAACUUGGCUGCAAUCCGAGGCGACAACAAAGUUCUGGAUGCCCAUAUCUUCUGCCAGGGACAAAGCUUCCCGGCACGCUACAGCCUCCAAAGUGGCCGGGUCUACCACUCCUUCGACAACCAAGGCUGAGCUGCCCAUAUAGUUUCCCAACUCAUCUCUGCAUACUGCAGCAGCUGAUCCUCCUCUUCUUGUCAUUACUCCAGCAUCAACAUGAAUCUUGCGGUAACCCGCUGGUGGUUUCUUUGGCCGGCGCUGACCAGGUUGGCCCGACGCAGGAGUGUUACCCCGCCCUGGGCCAUUAGUUUUGAUUGUAUCUAGUUCAGCAACAAACCUGACAACAAAUCCGUGGGUAGCUUGGGGACUGUGAAAGAUUGACUCUAUCAUGUGAGGGGUGUUUUUUUGGGGUUGCACGUCAGAAGCUAUUACAGGCCCAGUAGGCCCAAUUUAAUCUUAGAAGCCGAAAAAAGCCACCAGAGCAGCGGCCCAGUAAGUGUUAACGGUCGUUAGGAUCGACCGGAAAUUUCUAAAAGCGACAUCCAACGGCCACGAACGCUAAUGGCCUGAGAUGGCAGUAAAAGUGCUCGUUAUAAUGUAUAUAAAUGGGAGAGACAUGUAGAGUCAAUGUUCGAGGAUUUCCGUCGUAGCCAUUCCAACCAGGCCGCAUUGGGGAAUUGAUGGUGCUUAGAGACAUCCGACAUAUUUCUCACUAGAUGGGGAAGAAUAUAAAAAACAAUGGCCUUCCGGAGGUUGUUGAAAUAGAUGGUGAUUGUUCUAGCGACCACUUGAGAGAGGUACGGGAGGAGCUGUCUUUCGGUGUUGACCAAGAACAUCUUGAUAUGUUUACGUCUUUGAACAUCGAGCAACGGGUUGGAUUUGAUGAAAUACCACUAGUGCAGAAUCGAAAUAUUGUCCCGGUUCGUAAGGCCCUUUAGUGCCGGUUCUGAAACCGGCACUAAAGGGUGGGGACUAAAGUGGUCGAAUGUCUGGCACGACCAUUCACACAUACACAUGUAUAUAUACAAUUUCUCCUACAAUUUGCAGAUCAUUACAUGCAGGCAUUACUGCGGAGGCAUUACUGCGGUAGCGGGUAAUGGAAUUCUCCUUUGAGAUCUAUGACCUGGUCGAGCAAAAAUCCAGCUGUUUCCUCUUGAAUUGCUCGUGCGCGAUCCGUUGGUAGGAGCUGAUCCCGCAUCUCCUUCAUCUUUAAAGGAGAUCAAUAUGCAUGUAUUAGUUGUGUGUAUAUAUAUUAGAUAAUGAUGUAAAAAUUGUAAAUAGUGUUCUGGCAAACGUACCCAUAACUCUCUAUCAGUUCUGCUCCUUUCGGACGCCAUCAUGCGAAUGUUCUCGCAAACGUAGUAUGCACAUAAAUCAGUCCCCGGCGCCUACUUCAGGGCCUUUACGAGAAUAGAAUUUAAUCAGAUAAUAAUUAAUCAAGCAUGAUAAUUAAUGGUAUUGAAACUAGAAUUAAAGAGAUGUUAGCUAGCUAGCUAGUACUACUUAAUUAAUUACCUUGGGUCGACGCCGUAUCAGGUUUUGUUUCCAUGGGUCAUCAACCAGUUUGAUGAAAUUUUCCCAAGCCCUGCCCGCCGGCAAAGAAAAUGAAUAAAGGAGUUAUUACUUAGUUGAUAUCAGAAAAUGACGAACUAAAGAGGCCGACAUAUAGUUCGAUAAUGAUUGAAAUUACCUGUUGACCAUCCCCUUCACGAUUUCGUACUCAUAACGGGUUUAAGUAGUGAGUCCAGUAGUUCAACUUUUCCAUCGUCAACUUGAAUGAUUAACAAGAUCCAGUGGAAACUGCAUGCGCACACGUUUGCAUGUAUAAAUUAAGCAAGCAUGUGCAUAUAACUCAUCAACUACCCUAAACCCUAUACACUUAUUAACAUCUAGUAAGUAAGCAAAAACAGAAUUUGUAGUACAAGACAGUGUGACUCACCCGAAGUUGUAAGGAGUAAUAUAUCUCGAUUGGUAUUUAGGCGCUUCAAGAACUCUAGCAAGCUGUUCUCUGUGUCUUUUCGUUCCCAUUGACGCGUCCAUGUCUCUUGGUUAAUGGUAUUUGGGUCAAUGAACCCAAUGCCAUAGCGUCCUGCUUUUUUUCAUUUCAUAGAUCUUCAUUCUGCAUAAUACCAUAGAAAAGAAUAUAGUAAGGAUAAUUACAGGUAAUGAUCAACGAGCACUACAGCUAGCUUGAGACUUAAAUUACAGAAAGAAAUCACUUAUAGACAAUAGCAACUGAUGAUAGAUUUGUCGAGUGCGUCUUGAUUGAAUAACUGAAACAGUUCUGUAAACUCAACAUACAGAUCAUUCUCAUGGUAGUAAUGCUCUGGCUUGACUCUCACCAUGAGGGACUCUCGAUUGGUAGUCUUGGCAAUUUUCAUGUGCCAUUCAUGCAAUUCAUACAUUCUCGUUGAGAGCUUCUUGACCUCCUUAGGCUUGACCAUAGAUUCGCCGCGGGCAUAUUUCCGUUUUAGUUGCUGCUCUGUAAACCUUUCCAUGGGCUCGAUGCCUAGGAGUUGUUCUAUAGUGCAUCCGAUCUCUGCAGCUAGCCUUCUAUGAUCGUUGGUUAUUACCAGAUGAUCGACGCCGGUACUCACAUGUGUUGGUACAAUCAGCGAGGGGAUCGAUUGCACCGCCUGUUCUCCCAGCUAGGGAACAAUUUUCCCGCUUUUUUUGGCAGCUGCUGGGCUCGAGCUCGAGCUCGACUCCUUUUUUGUGCUUGAUAUGACUUCUGAUUUGGCGCUCAUAGUCUGAGUCAAUAGGCUUGGGAGCUGGUGGUUCAGCCAUACGAAUAAAGUGGUCAACGACAUGCUCAGGCAAUUUCUCCUUUGGCGGAGGUGGCGGUUUCGGUCCAAAAUGGUCCCUCAGUUGGGCUUGCACUUCGGCUUCAUUUUCCUCCUCAGUCAUGUCGUACGGCCUCUUCGGAAGAGGCUUGAGGCUUGGAACAAAUUGGUAUCUCUUGCCUCCUGUACUUGUACCGCUAGCCGCCGUAGCUGCGGCGGCUCUCUUCCGCUGUUGCUUAGGUGAUGGAGAUGACUGACGCGGUGCCUGACUUGGAGGAGGAGGAUUGGGCUGACGCGGUGCCGUACUUGGAGAAGGAGUGGGCUGACGCUGUGCUGCACUUGGAGGAGGAGGAGUGGGCUGACGUGUUAGCGGACUUGGAGGAGCAGGAGACUGCAGAGGCGGUGGCUGACUUGGAGGAGCUGGAGUAUGCUGACGCGGUGGCGGACUUGGAGGAGGAGCCGGCUGAUGUGGUGUCAAUGGCCUUGGAAAGACGAUGCAAUCCUUUCUCCGUAGAAUGAUAUGAUGUAUGGCCUCUCCCAAUGUGCGCUCGUCGUCACCUCUAGGAAUGUCAAGCUCUCGCCCCGAAUAUUGUGCAACCACUUCAUCAACCGUGACACGAGCAUAGCCAGCUGGAAUUGGAUUGCAAUGGAAGGUUGCUUCAGGGGGAUUUGUAUAAGCAACGCUGUCCGCCACCUUCACGGAUAUGUUCUUCAUUUUAAAGUGUAGCUCACAAUUAGGGUUAUCCAUGAUGUCAUCCACAGGGUACCUAUCCAGCAGUGCCUCAUCGCCCGGGGCGGAACCCACGCUGCUUCUCGGCAUGCAUGGGAUAGUGCUAUCCAAUGCUGGAUCCGCUAGCUGUUGCCGCUGCUGAGAGCCCCUUUCCUUGCUAAGUGAGUCGAUCUGCUUCUCCUACCGCUGGAAAGCGAGUGCCAACUCCGCGUGCCUUGAUUCUAGGCCUUGAAGGCGGUCUGCUUCCUGCUUCCUCUGCUCCUCCUUCAGCUUCCUCUUCUUCUCCUCCUCCAUCUUCUUUCUCGCACGGCUUCUAUAGUCGGCGUUCCAGUCAGCAAACCCCUCAAACCACGGAACAACGCAUUUGCCUCAUGUUCUUCCCGGGUGUUCAAGGUUCUUCAAGGCGUGCGUAAGCUCGUCGUUCUCUCUGUUGGGCGUGAACACCCCCGUUCGAGCCUCUUCUAUUGCAACAAGUAAAUCGAGGUCGGCUCCUUUAAGACUUGCCCGCUCCAAAACCUCGCUUGUCUUUGGGUCCAACGUCCCCCCAUGCGCAUAGAACCAAGUCCUGCACCUGGGGGGCCAGCUCAAUGUAACUGGAGUGACCCCUGCAUCCAUCAACUAUCGCUCAGAGAGAUCCCACUUAGGUCAGGCCACCUCGUAGCCACCUGGCCCCAGCUUAUGGUGCCAUAUCUUUUUCGCGGCAUUGAUCUUGUUUAUUCUCGACCGUUCCUGAGCUACUUCCGAUUCCUUGAAUUUCACGAAAGCGUCCCAGUGAUCUCUUUGCUUCUCAAGUGUUCCCUUGAAUUUUGGAGUCUUCUUUCCUCCUUCGACGUACUUGUUCCAUAUAGUUUUCUUGUGGUUGUUGAAUGCUAUCGCCAUCUUCCUAAGAGCAGCGUUCUUGACUUUCUCCACAUCUGCAUCUAUGAAAUGAUCUGGUAGCAUGAAAUGUGACAUGAGAGAUUCCCAAAGCCGAUCUUUUGCUCUUUGGUCGACAAAAGUAAGAUCUGGACGUUCCUUUGUUGGCUUCUUCCAUUCUUGAAUGGAGAUCGAGAUUUGGUCCUUCACAAGAACUUCGCACUGACGAAUGAACUCGCCCGCAUUCUUCUUAGGCUCACGCGGUUCGCCAUUAGGUUUGAUGGCAUCGAUGUUGUACUUUGCGCCAUCCUUCAACUUUUUGGCAAGGCCUCGCACUGUCCUGCUGCCCGUAGAAGAUUUGCUCGAUCCGGAGGGCUGAAAGAAGAAAGAUCAAUUUGUUAAUAUAUAUAUACAAAUCAAUUAAAACACGUGAUGAUCACCAGAUGCCUGCUUAUAUAAAUAUACCUCGCCGGUCUUUGUUAUUUCAAGAACAAGAUUUCCUUGGUCAUCGAUAUCAUAGUUCUCGACUUCAUCUAUUCUUUCGUCUUCAUCAAAUAUCAUACCCUCACCGGUAGGGUUCAGAUAUUACGAGCCGUCAUCUUCUUCAAACUCAUCAUCUGGGCGACGGGAGCGUAUGAUGUUGAACAUGACCUCCUCUUCUUCUAUGCCGGUAUUGUCCAUAGCUUUCAUUUAACUAAUCCAAAAGAAAUAUAAAACAAUUUUGUAUUCAAAUUAGAAUGCAUGCAUGCAUGCAUGCAAUCAAUAAGGAAAAACCGAAUCAUAGUACAUAAUAUGCAUCAUCGAAUAUAAUCUUGAAUACAUCGUCUCGAAUAUUAUCGAAUAAUAUAAUCUCAAAUGCAUCGUCUCGAAUAUUAUCGAAUACAACACUAGCUAGCUAAUACAGAACGAAUACUAUCGAAUAAUCUAGUUCACUCGCGGUUCCUGAGGCGCGGGCGGUGGACACCCAAAGAGAAGGAACCAUCACAGGAUCAUAGCUCGGGUGAGAUCCCCGAAGAACCUGCCAGGUAUUGGAGAACCUGACGUCCAACACAGCCAUGUAGCGACGGAUGUGCUUGUCCUCCUCCCUGACACGACGAUGUACCACCUCCGGCGGGGCCGGCUCCCUCCACACCGAAAGUGUACCACGUGAACGCCACCAAAGGAGCUCCGGGUCGACGACAGGACCCGGGGCCGGGUUCCUCCCCAAGCGGCGCGCCCCUGAAGGUAGCACCUCCCAGUGCCAGCCCGACGGAGCCCAGUCCCGAACAUGGCUCCUCUGAAGCAGGACGUCGUCGCGAACGGGUCGACGGUGAGGAUGCGGGCCGGGCAUCGUUGACGUCGAGAACAAAUUCUAUAUGCAAAUGUAACAUUUUUUAAAUGAUUGGAUUGUGAUUUAUUAUAUACGAGGAAAAACUUUAGUCCCUGGCAAUAUGAUCAGGAUUCAGAAUCAUAACGAAUUCUCUUAACCUUUAAGGGAUUUAACAAAAUGGCACCAUUCUGGGUGUGCAGAAAAUGAUCCAUGUUUUUCUGAUCUCAUCCCCUUCUAUAUGCCACAUUGUCUACUGUCAAAGGAUUCAAGAAAACCAUGGCUUCAUCAUUAGCCGGAAGUAACAGGCGCAUGAUGGUACGGAGCUCUCCAAAGUUGUUUUGGAACAAAGUCCCGGAUAAGAUAAUUCGCUUUUUGGUACGAAGUUCAGCAAGAGCCUUCCGAAUAUCGCUAUUUGGAAGGCCUUUGCUGAAUUUCGUACCAAAAAGCGAAUUAUCCUAUCAGGAUUCCAUUCCAAAAUAAUUUUGGAGAGCUUCGUACCAUCAUGCGCCUGUUACUUCCGGCUAAUGAUGAAACCCUGGAUUUCUUCAAUACUUUGACACAAGAGGACGUGCACAUAUAGAAGCGUAGAUGAGGUCGGGAAAAAUAUGGAUCAACUUAAUUAUGCACAUCCAUAAUGGGGGCAUUCUUGAUAAAUCUCUUAUUAAUGGGGGCAUACUUGAUAAAUCCCUUAUUAAAUGUUGCAUAUGUGUCAAAAUUCAAACUUUGACAUAUGAUCAAACUUUGACAUAUGAUCAAAUGUUGCAUAUGUCAAAAUUAAAACUUUGACAUAUGAUCAAACUUUCAUAUAUGAUCAAAUGUUGCAUCUGUCAAAAUUCAAACUUUGACAUAUGAUCAAAUGUUGCAUAUGUCAAAAUUCAAACUUUGACAUAUGAUCAAACUUUGAAAUAUGAUCAAAUGUUGCAUAUGUCAAAAUUCAAACUUUUCAUCUAAUUAACAUUUAUAUAUCUAAAAUUCUUCAAACCUUCCUAUAACUAAAAGUAUAAAAAAUAAAGAAAAUAUUCAUCUAAAAAAUUCAUCUAACAUUCAUCUAAAAAAUUCAUCUAACAUUUAUAUAUAUCUAAUUCAUCUAGCAUUUUUAUAUACAUUCAUCUAAAAGUAUAAAAAACUAAAAAACUGACAAACAAAAAUAAUUCAUCUAAUUAACUUGUGUGUGUGUGCGUGUGUGUGUGUGUGCGGCCAUGGCGGGGCAGGGGCUCACAACGGGCGNNNNNNNNNNNNNNNNNNNNNNNNNNNNNNNNNNNNNNNNNNNNNNNNNNNNNNNNNNNNNNNNNNNNNNNNNNNNNNNNNNNNNNNNNNNNNNNNNNNNNNNNNNNNNNNNNNNNNNNNNNNNNNNNNNNNNNNNNNNNNNNNNNNNNNNNNNNNNNNNNNNNNNNNNNNNNNNNNNNNNNNNNNNNNNNNNNNNNNNNNNNNNNNNNNNNNNNNNNNNNNNNNNNNNNNNNNNNNNNNNNNNNNNNNNNNNNNNNNNNNNNNNNNNNNNNNNNNNNNNNNNNNNNNNNNNNNNNNNNNNNNNNNNNNNNNNNNNNNNNNNNNNNNNNNNNNNNNNNNNNNNNNNNNNNNNNNNNNNNNNNNNNNNNNNNNNNNNNNNNNNNNNNNNNNNNNNNNNNNNNNNNNNNNNNNNNNNNNNNNNNNNNNNNNNNNNNNNNNNNNNNNNNNNNNNNNNNNNNNNNNNNNNNNNNNNNNNNNNNNNNNNNNNNNNNNNNNNNNNNNNNNNNNNNNNNNNNNNNNNNNNNNNNNNNNNNNNNNNNNNNNNNNNNNNNNNNNNNNNNNNNNCGACGAAGAAGAAGAAUAAACUGCAAAAUUUUGAAGUGUGAGUAUAUAUAGGAGGGGCCUUUAGUCCCGGUUGGAGCCACCAACCGGGACUAAAGGUCUAUUUUGGCCAGGCCAAGCGGCGGAAAGCGCAGGCCUUUAGUCCCGGUUGGUGGCUCCAACCGCGACUAAAGGGGGGCCUUUAGUCGCGGUUGGAGCCACCAAGCGGGACUAAAGGUGGUGCGCUACCACCCGCGGUGCACAAAGUUUAGUCCCACCUCGCCGAGUGAAGGGCAGCGCACUGGUUUAUAAACCCAGCCGUAGCUGCUCCUUCGAGCUCCUCUCCAAAUCAGGCUUCUGGGCCUAAAACUGUUGUGCUGCCCUGUGGGCCUGCUGGGCCUACAUCCUGGCCCAACUACAGGUUGGUUUUCUAGUCGUAUGCAGGCCGUUGUGGCCCAGUAGGCGGGCUUUUUUUCUUUUUUUGUUUUCUGCGUUAUUUACUUUCUUUUAUUUCUGAGUUAUUUUUUGCUUUAUUUAGAGUUUCUUUGUGAAUACUUUUGUUUUACGUAAAAAAAUUAUAAACUUUCUGUUAGUGCCAUUAGUUUUCAUAAAUUUGGAUAGUUUAAAUUUGAAUUAUUUGAAAUUUGUGUGGAUCACUAGUUUGUGAAUAACUUUACUUUAAAAAUAGAUUUUUCAGUGAUUCUUUUUUCUUAUGUUUAAUAUUAGUGUGUUUUAUCAUUAUAUUCAAUUUGGUAAUAAUUAGGUUAUUUAAAAAAUGAAAUGCCUUUGUAACAGAUGAGUUUUCGUCCGAAACCCUGAUACUUCAAAAGAGAUUGUCCAUUUUGUACACGAAGUGCAUCCAGUUUUUGCCGUAACCCUCUCAACUUUUUAGCACAUGCUAUGUGGGUGAAAUGAUGAUACCAUGCCAACUUUCAACCUUUUCAGAGUUCAUUUGUAGUGCUUUUCAAUUUCAGGGUCCUUUAGCUCAAUAAAAUCAGUAAAUGCAUGAAAAUAGCAAAUGAAGUCAGAAGGGGUUGAAAAUUGAUGAAGUGGCUUUGAAUGGUGCAUACUGAAUGCACAAAAAGUCUGGAGUUGAAAUAAGUUAAAAAAAUGAAAUGCCUUUGUAAUAGAUGAGUUUUCGUCCGAAACCAUCACACUUCGAAAGAGAUUGUCCAUUUUGUACACGAAGUGGAUCCAGUAUUUGCCGUAACCCUCUCAACUUUUUAGCACAUGCUAUGUGGGUGAAAUGAUGAUACCAUGCCAACUUUCGACGUUUUCAGAGUUCAUUUGUAGUGCUUUUCAAUUUCAGGGUCAUUUAGCUCAAAAAAAUCAGUAAAUGCAUGAAAAGUAGCAAAUGAAGUAAGAAAGGGUUGAAAAUUGAUGACGUGCUUUGAAUGGUGCAUAUUGAACACACAAAAAGUCUGGAGUUGAAAUAAGUUUAAAAAAUGAAAUGCCUUUGUAACAGAUGAGUUUUCGUCCGAAACCCUGAUACUUCGAAAGAGAUUGUCCAUUUUGUACACGAAGUGCAUCCUGUUUUUGCCGUAACCCUCUCAACUUUUUUGCACAUGCUAUGUGGGUGAAAUCAUGAUACCAUGCCAACUUUCAACCUUUUCAGAGUUCAUUUUAAGUGCUUUUUAAGUUCAGGGUCCUUUAGCUCAUAAAAAUUAGUAAAUGCAUGAAAAAUAGCAAAUGAAGUCCAACAUAAUGCAUGAAAUAAUUUGUUUGGACAUAAUAUUUCUUCGCGUUUCAAAUGACAAAACACAUAAGUACUCUAACUAUUACAAAGAUUCCCUCUGGUUUGUCCAAAGUGGGACUUUCCAGAUGACAGUGAAGCCGGUCACAUCCCAGAGUGGGAUCUUUGGGUGUGAAACUUUUUCUUCGCGUGUGUCCCUUUGCGCCGUAACUAUGGACAAUCUUCAUCAUUUAAAUGGAUGCUCGAGUCAAUAUUCACUGUGAAGGGAGCAAUUUCAUGAAGCUUUUCAUAAUCUUCUGACAUGUCUGUCUUGUCAUCCACUCCCACGAUGUUUCCUUUCCCUGAAAGAACUAUGUGGCGCUUUGGCUCAUCGUAUGAUGUAUUCGCUUCCUUAUCUUUUCUUUUUCUCGACUUGGUAGACAUCUCCUUCACAUAGAAAACCUGCGCCACAUCAUUGGCUAGGACGAAUGGUUCGUCUGCGUAUGCAAGAUUGUUGAGAUCCACUGUUGUCAUUCCGUACUGCGGGUCUUCCGUUACCCCGCCUCGUGUCAGAUUGACCCAUUUGCACCGAAACAAAGGGAGCUUCAAAGCACGUCCAUAGUCAAGUUCCCAUAUCUCCUCUAUGUAACGAUAAUAUGUGUGUCCUUUCCCCUCUUGAUUGCUGCAUCAAAGCGGACACCACUGUUUUGGUUGGUGCUCUUCUUCUCUUGGGCGAUCGUGUACAAUGUAUUCUCAUUUAUCUCGUACCCUUUGAAAGUCAUUAUAUUCGAAGAUGGUAAUUGGGACAGCAAGUACAGGUCAUCUUCAACAGCUCGUCAUGCAUGGCACGUGUCUGCAACCAACCGGUGAAAGUCCCUGUUUGUUCGCGUGUAAUCCAGUCGUCAAACUGCUCCGGGUGUUUGGAGCGUAGAAUAUUCUUGUGUUCCUCCAUAUACGGAGCCACCAAGGCGGAAUUUUGUAGAACUAUGUAGUGUACUUGAGUGAGAGAAUGCCCGUCCAUACAUAUUAUUUGUUUCGGUCCUAGCGUGCCAUUUCCACCCAGUCUGCCCUUAUGCCGUGAUUCGGGAACACCAAUCGGCUUAUGGUCAGGAAUAAAGUCAAUACAAAACUCAAUGACCUCCUCAUUUUCAUGGCCCUUGGAGAUGCUUCCUUCUGGCCUAGCACGGUUAUGAACAUAUUUCUUUAAGACUCCCAUGAACCUCUCAAAGGGGAAUAUAUUGUGUAGAAAUACAGGACCGAGAACGACAAUCUCUUCGCAUAGGUGAACUAGGACAUGCGUCAUGAUGUUGAAGAAGGAUGGUGGGAACACCAACUCGAAACUGACAAGACAUUGCACCAAAUCAUUCUCUAACCUUGGUAUGAUUUCUGGAUCGAUUACCUUCUGAGAGAUUGCAUUGAGGAAUGCACAUAUCUUCACAAUGGCUAAUCGAACGUUUUCCGGUAGAAGCCCCCUCAAUGCAACCGGAAGCAGCUGCAUCAUAAUCACGUGGUAGUCAUGAGACUUUAGUUUCUGGAACUUUUUCUUUGCCAUAUUUAUUAUUCCCUUUAUAUUGGACGAGAAGCCAAACAGGACCUUCAUACUGAGCAGGCAUUCAAAGAAGAUUUCCUUCUCUUCUCUGGUAAGAGCAUAGGUGGCAUGACCCUGAUGUAUGCCGUCUUUUCCGUGCAUACGUUGCUGGUCCUCCCGUGCCUCCGGUGUAUCUUUUGUCUUCCCAUACACGCCCAAGCCAAGCAGGGUCACGCAAAGAUUCUUCGUCACGUGCAUCACGUUGAUUGCAGAGUGGACCUCUAGGUCUUUCCAAUAGGGUAGGUCCCAAAAAUAUAGAUUUCUUCUUCCACAUGGGUGCGCGUCCGUCAGCGUCAUUCGGAACGGAUUGUCCGUCAGGACCCUUUCCAAAGAUUACCUUCAAAUCCUUGACCAUAUCAUGUACAUCAUCACCAGUACGGUGGCGAGGCUUCGUCCGGUGAUCUGCCUCACCUUUGAAAUGCUUGCUUAUCUUUCUUAUGGGAUGCCUGCUCGGAAGAAACCGACGAUGACCCAGGUACACAUUCUUCUUAGAAUUAUCCAAAUAUAUACUGUCGGUAUCAUCCAAAUAGUGCGUGCAUGCGCGGUAUCCCUUGUUUGCCUGUCCUGGAAGGUUACUGACAGCAGAAUCAUUGAUGGUCACAAACAGCAACGCAUGUAGGUCAAAUUCUUCAUGAUUGAGCUCAUCCCACGCAUGUACACCUUUUCCAUUCUAUAGCUGUAAGAGUUCUUCAAAUAAUGGCCUUAGGAACACAUCAAUGUCGUUGCCGGGUUGCUUAGGGCCUUGGAUGGGCACUGGCAUCAUAAUGAACUUCCGCUUCAUGCACAACCAAGGAGGAAGGUUAUACAUACAUAGAGUCACAGGCCAGGUGCUAUGAUUGCUGCUCUGCUCCCCAAAAGGAUUAAUGCCAUCUGCGCUUAGACCAAACCAUACGUUCCUUGCGUCACCUGCAAAGUCCUCUCAAUACUUUCUCUCGAUUUUUCUCCACUGCGACCCGUCAGCGGGUACUCUCAACUUCCCGUCUUUCUUACGGUCUUCUCUGUGCCAUCGCAUCAACUUGGAAUGCCCUUUGUUUUGGAACAAAUGUUUCAACCGUGGUAUUAUAGGAGGAUACCACAUCACCUUGGCAGGUAUCUUCUUCCUGGGGCGCUCUCCCUCGACAUCACCAGGGUCAUCGCGGCUGAUCUUAUAGCGCAAUGCACCGCAUAUCGGGCACGCAUUCAAAUCCUCGUACUCACCGCGGUAGAGGAUGCAGUCAUUAGGGCAUGCAUGUAUCUUCUGCACCUCUAAUCCUAGAGGGCAGACAGCCUUCUUUGCUUCGUACGUACUCUCGGGCAAUUCGUUGUCCUUUGAAAGCAUCUUCUUUAACAUUAUCAGCAAGUUUCCAAAUCCCUUGUCAGAUACACCAUUAUCUGCCUUCCAUUGCAGCAAUUCCAGUGUGGUGCCCAGCUUUUUCUUGUCAGCUUCGCAAUUUGGGUACAACAAUUUCUUGUGAUCCUCUAACAUGCGCUGCAACUUCAGCCUCUCCUUUUCAGUUGCGCACUUUCUCUUUGCAUCGGCAAUGGCCCGAUCUAGAUCAUCAGCGGGCACAUCUGAUGCCUCUUCUUCAGCUUCUUCCUGCAUUGCUGACUCAGCUUCUUCCCCCAUUGUUGUGCCAUCGUAUUCAGGGAACCCAUGGCCAGGAUAGUUAUCGUCCUCCUCUUCUUCUUCAUUGACUUCCAUCGUAACCCCUCUUUCUCCGUGCUUGGUCCAAACAUUAUAGUGGGGCAUGAAACCGGACUCAAACAGGUGUACGUGAAUGGUUUUUGACUUAGAGUACUUCCGAUCAUUCUUAUAGCCAGCACAUGGACAAGACAUAAAACCAUCUGCCCGCUUGUUUACCUCAGCCGCAAGCAAAAAACUACGCACGCCAUUAACGAACCGGGGAGAGCAUCGGUCAUCGUACAUCCUUUGCCGUCUCAUCUUCAUUACACAGCACCGAAAAGACCAAAUUAAUACAAGUUCAUACACACUUAUGAAGGAAAUAUGCCCUAGAGGCAAUAAUAAAGUUAUUAUUUAUUUCCUUAUAUCAUGAUAAAUGUUUAUUAUUCAUGCUAGAAUUGUAUUAACCGGAAACAUAAUACAUGUGUGAAUACAUAGACAAACAUAGUGUCACUAGUAUGCCUCUACUUGACUAGCUCGUUGAUCAAAGAUGGUUGAGUUUCCUAGCCAUGGACAUGAGUUGUCAUUUGAUUAACGGGAUCACAUCAUUAGGAGAAUGAUGUGAUUGACUUGACCCAUUCCGUUAGCUUAGCACUUGAUCGUUUGGUAUGUUGCUAUUGCUUUCUUCAUGACUCAUACAUGUUCCUAUGACUAUGAGAUUAUGCAACUCCCGUUUACCGAAGGAACACUUUGUGUGCUACCAAACGUCACAACGUAACUGGGUGAUUAUAAAGGUGCUCUACAGGUGUCUCCGAAGGUACUUGUUGAGUUGGCGUAUUUCGAGAUUAGGAUUUGUCACUCCGAUUGUCGGAGAGGUAUCUCUGGGCCCUCUCGGUAAUGCACAUCACUAUAAGCCUUGCAAGCAAUGUGACUAAUGAGUUAGUUGCGGGAUGAUGCAUUGUGUAACGAGUAAAGAGACUUGCCGGCAACAAGAUUGAACUAGGUAUUGUGAUACCGACGAUCGAAUCUCGGGCAAGUAACAUACCGAUGACAAAGGGAACAACGUAUGUUGUUAUGCGGUUUGGCCGAUACAGAUCUUCGUAGAAUAUGUGUGAGCCAAAAUGAGCAUCCAGUUUCAGCUAUUGGUUAUUGACCGGAGACGUGUCUCGGUCAUGUCUACAUAGUUCUCGAACCCGUAGGGUCCGCAUGCUUAAAGUUCGAUGAUGAUCGGUAUUAUGAGUUUAUGUGUUUUGAUGUACCGAAGGUAGUUCGGAGUCCCAGAUGAGAUCGAGGACUUGACGAGGAGUCUUGAAAUGGUCGAGACAUAAAGAUUGAUAUAUUGGAAGGUUAUAUUCGGACACCGGAAGGGUUCCAGGGGUNNNNNNNNNNNNNNNNNNNNNNNNNNNNNNNNNNNNNNNNNNNNNNNNNNNNNNNNNNNNNNNNNNNNNNNNNNNNNNNNNNNNNNNNNNNNNNNNNNNNNNNNNNNNNNNNNNNNNNNNNNNNNNNNNNNNNNNNNNNNNNNNNNNNNNNNNNNNNNNNNNNNNNNNNNNNNNNNNNNNNNNNNNNNNNNNNNNNNNNNNNNNNNNNGCAAGGGGGGCCGGCCCCCUCUUUCCUUCUCCUCCUCUCCCUUUCCUUCCCCCUCUCCUACUCCUACUAGGAAAAGGAGGAGGCUACUCCUAGUGGGAGUAGGACUCCCCCUCUCGGCGCGCCUCUCCUUGGCCAGCCACCUCCUCCCUCCCUCCUUUAUAUACGGGGGCAGGGGGGCACCCCAAGACACACAAGUUGAUCUGUUGAUCUAUUCCAGCCGUGUGCUCAGGUGAAGCCCUGCGUCGGUAGCAACAUCGUCACCGUCAUCACGCCGUCGUACUGACGGAACUCUCCCGUGAAGCUCUGCUGGAUUGGAGUUAACGGGACGUCAUCGAGCUGAACGUGUGCUGAACUCGGAGGUGCCGUAGUUGGUACAUGGAUCGGUCGGAUCGUGAAGACGUACGACUACAUCAACCGCGUUGUGCUAACGCUUCCGCUUUCGGUCUACGAGGGUACGUGGACAACAAUCUCCCCUCUCGUUGCUAUGCAUCACCAUGAUCUAGCUGUGCGUAGGAUUUUUUUGAAAUUACUACGUUCCCCAACAGUGGUAUCAGAGCCAGGUUUAUGCAUAGAUAUUAUAUGCACGAGUAGAACACAAGUGAGUUAUGGGCGAUACAAGUCAUACUGCUUACCAGCAUGUCAUACUUUGGUUCGGCGGUAUUGUUGGAUGAAGCGGCCCGGACCGACAUUACGCGCACGCUUACGCGAGACUGGUUCUACCGACGUGCUUUGCACACAGGUGGCUGGCGGGUGUCUGUUUCUCCAACUUUAGUUGAACCGAGUGUGGCUACGCCCGAUCCUUGUGAAGGUUAAAACAGCACUAACUUGACGAACUAUCGUUGUGGUUUUGAUGCGUCGGUAAGAACGGUUCUUGCUCAGCCCGUAUUGCAACAACAAAGUAGAGGACGUCUAACUUGUUUUUGCAGGGCAUGUUGUGAUGUGAUAUGGUCAAGGCAUGAUGCUAUAUUUUAUUGUAUGAGAUGAUCAUGUUUUGUAACCGAGUUAUCGGCAACUAGCAGGAGCCAUAUGGUUGUGGCUUUAUUGUAUGCAAUGCAAUCACCCUGUAAUUGCUUUACUUUAUCACUAAGCGGUAGCGAUAGUCGUAGAAGCAAUAGUUGGUGAGACGACAACGAUGCUACGAUGGAGAUCAAGGUGUCGCGCCGGUGAUGAUGGUGAUCAUGACGGUGCAUCGGAGAUGGAGAUCACAAGCACAAGAUGAUGAUGGCCAUAUCAUAUCACUUAUAUUGAUUGCAUGUGAUGUUUAUAUUUUAUGCAUCUUAUCUUGCUUUGAUUUACGGUAGCAUUUUAAGAUGAUCUCUCACUAAAUUAUCAAAGUAUAAGUGUUCUCCCUGAGUAUGCACCGUUGCGAAAGUUCUUCAUGCUGAGACACCACGUGAUGAUCGGGUGUGAUAGGCUCUACGUUCAAAUACAACGGGUGCAAAACAGUUGCACACGCGGAAUACUCAGGUUAAACUUGACGAGCCUAGCAUAUAACAGAUAUGGCCUCGGAACACUGAGACCGAAAGAUCGAGCAUGAAUCAUAUAGUAGAUAUGAUCAACAUAAAUGAUGUUCACCAUUGAAACUACUCCAUCUCACGUGAUGAUCGGACAUGGUUUAGUUGAUAUGGAUCACGUGACCACUUAGAGGAUUAGAGGGAUGUCUAUCUAAGUGGGAGUUCUUAAGUAAUAUGAUUAAAUUGAACUUUAAUUUAUCAUGAACUUAGUCCUGGUAGUAUUAGCAUAUCUAUGUUGUAGAUCAAUAGCUCGCGUUUAGUUCCCCUGUUUUAUUUUUGAUAUGUUCCUAGAGAAAACUAAGUUGAAAGAUGUUAGUAGCAAUGAUACGGAUUGGAUCCGUGAUCUGAGGAUUAUCCUCAUUGUUGCACAGAAGAAUUAUGUCCUUGAUGCACCACUAGGUGACAGACCGAUUGCAGGAGCAACUACAGACGUCAUGAACGUUUGGCAAGCUCGAUAUGAUGACUACUUGAUAGUUUAGUGCACCAUGCUUUACGGCUUAGAAUCGGGGCUUCAAAGACGUUUUUUUAAACGCCACGGAGCAUAUAAGAUGUUCCAAGAGUUGAAAUUAGUAUUUCAGACUCAUGCCCGUGUCGAGAGCUAUGAGACAUCUGACAGUACUUUGCCUACAAGAUGGAGGAGAAUUGCUCAGCUAGUGAGCAUGUGCUCAGAAUGUCUGAGUACUACAAUCACUUGAAUCAAGUGGGUGUUAAUCUUCCAGAUAAGAUAGUGAUUGGCAGAGUUCUCUAGUCACUAUCACCAAGUUACUAGAACUUCGUGAUGAACUAUAAUAUGCAAGGGAUAACGGAAACGAUUCCCAAGCUCUUCGUGAUGCUGAAAUUGACGAAGGUAGAAAUCAAGAAAAACAUCAAGUGUUGAUGGUUGACAAGACCACUAGUUUCAAGAAAAGGGCAAAGGGAAGAAGGGGAACUUCAAGAAGAACGGCAAGCGAGUUGCUGCUCAAGUGAAGAAGCCCAAGUCUGGACCUAAGCCUGAGACUAAGUGCUUUUACUGCAAAGGGACUGGUCACUAGAAGUGGAAUUGCCCUAGAUACUUGGCGGAUAAGAAGGAUGGCAUAGUGAACAAAGGUAUAUUUGAUAUACAUGUUAUUGAUGUGUACUUUACUAGUGUUUAUAGCAACCCCUUAGUAUUUGAUACUAGUUCAGUUGCUAAGAUUAGUAACUCGAAACAGGAGUUGCAGAAUGAACAGAGACUAGUUAAGGGUGAAGUGACGAUGUGUGUUGGAAGUAGUUCCAAGAUUGAUAUGAUCAUCAUCGCACACUCCCUAUACUUUCGGGAUUAGUGUUGAACCUAAAUAAGUGUUAUUUGGUGUUUGCGUUGAGCAUGAAUAUGAUUUGAUCAUGUUUAUUGCAAUACGGUUAUUCCUUUAAGUUAGAGAAUAAUUGUUGUUCUGUUUACAUGAAUAAAACCUUCUAUGGUCAUACACCCAAUGAAAAUGGUUUGUUGGAUCUCGAUCGUAGUGAUACACAUAUUCAUAAUAUUGAAGCCAAAAGAUGCAAAGUUAAUAAUGAUAGUGCAACUUAUUUGUGGCACUACCGUUUGGGUCAUAUUGGUGUAAAGCGCAUGAAGAAAUUCCAUGCUAAUGGGCUUUUGAAAUCACUUGAUUAUGAAUCACUUGAUGCUUGCGAACCAUGCCUCAUGGGAAAGAUGACUAAGACUCCGUUCUCCGGAACAAUGGAGCGAACAACUGACUUAUUGGAAAUAAUACAUACUGAUGUAUGCGGUCCGAUGAGUGUUAAGGCUCGCGGCAAGUAUCAUUAUUUUCUGACCUUCACAGAUGAUUUGGGCAGAUAUGGGUAUAUCUACUUGAUGAAACAUAAGUCUGAAACAUUUGAAAAGUUCAAAGAAUUUCAGAGUGAAGUGGAGAAUCAUCGUAAUAAGAAAAUAAAAGUUUCUACGAUAUGAUCGCAGAGGUAAAAUAUUUGAGUUACGAGUUUGGCCUUCAGUCAAAACAAUGUGAAAUAGUUUCACUACUCACGCCACCUAGAACACUACAGUGUAAUGGUGUGUCCGAACGUCAUAACGUACUUUAUUAGACAUGGUGCGAUCUAUGAUGUCUCUUACCGAUUUACCACUAUCGUUUUGGGAUUAUGCAUUAGAGACAGCUGCAUUCACGUUAAAUAGGGCACCAUCUAAAUCCGUUGAGAUGACACCGUAUGAACUAUGGUUUAGCAAUAAACCUAAGCUGUCGUUUAUUAAAGUUUGGAGUUGCGAUGCUUAUGUGAAAAAGUUUCAACCUGAUAAGCUCGAACCCAAAUCGGAGAAAUAUGUCUUCAUAGGAUACGCAAAGGAAACUGUUGGGUACCCUUCUAUCACAGAUCCGAAGGCAAGACAUUCGUUGCUGAGAAUGGAUCCUUUCUAGAGAAGGAGUUUCUCUCGAAAGAAGUGAGUGGGAGGAAAGUAGAACUUGAUGAGGUAAUAGUACCUUCUCCCAAAUUGGAAAAUAGUUCAUCACUGGAAUCAGUUCCAGUGAUGCCUACACCAAUUAGUGAGGAAGAUUAAUGAUUAUGAUCAUGAAACUUCAGAUCAAGUUACUACCGAACCUCGUAGAUCAACCAGAGUACGGUCCGCACCAGAGUGGUAUGGUAAUCCUGUUCUGGAGGUCAUGUUGCUUGACCAUAACAAACCUACGAACUAUGAGGAAGCGAUGAUGAGCCCAGAUUCCGCAAAAUGGUUUAAGGCCAUGAAAUCUGAGAUGGGAUCCAUGUAUGAAAACAAAGUAUGGACUUUGGUUGACUUGCCCAAUGACUUGCCUAAUGGGAUUCAAGAGGAGGACGGACAUUGAGAGUAGUGUUACUAUCUACAAAGCUAGACUUGUCGAAAAAGGUUUCUGACAAAGUUCAAGGUGUUGACUACGAUGAGAUUUUCUCACUCGUAGCGAUGCUUAAGUCUAUCCGAAUCAUGUUAGAAAAUUGCCACAUUUUAUGAAAUCUGGCAAAUGGAUGUCAAAACUACAUUCCUUAAUGGAUUUCUUAAAGAAGAGUUGUAUAUGAUGCAACCAGAAGGUUUUGUUGAUCCUAAAGGUGCUAACAAAAUGUGCAAGCUCCAGCGAUCCAUCUAUGGGCUGGUGCAAGCAUCUCGGAGUUGGAAUAUACGCUUUUGAUGAGUUGAUCAAAGCAUAUAGUUUUAUACAGACUUGUGGUGAAGCUUGUAUUUACAAGAAAGUGAGUGGGAGCACUACAGCCUUUCUGAUAAGUAUAUGUGAAUGACAUAUUGUCGAUCGGAAAUGAUGUAGAAUUUUCUAUAAAGCAUAAAGGAGUGUUUGAAAGGAGUUUUUCAAAGAAAGACCUCGGUGAAGCUGCUUACAUAUUGAGCAUCAGGAUCUAUAGAGAUAGAUCAAGACGUUUAAAUUUUUUCAAUGAGUACAUACCUUGACAAGUUUUUGAAGUAGUUCAAAAUGGAACAGUCAAAGAAAGAGUUCUUGCCUGUGUUGCAAGGUGUGAAGUUGAGUAAGACUCAAAACCCGACCACGGCAGAAGAUAGAGAGAGAAUGAAAGUCAUUCCCUAUGCCUCAGCUAUAGGUUCUAAAAGUAUGCCAUGCUAUGUACCAGACCUAUUGUAUACCCUGCCCUGAGUUUGGCAAGGGAGUACAAUAGUGAUCUAGGAGUAGAUCACUAGACAUUGGUCAAAAUUAUCCUUAGUGGAAUAAGGAUAUGUUUCUCGGUUAUGGAGGUGACGAAAAGUUCAUCGUAAAGGGUUACGUCGAUGCAAGUUUUGGCACUGAUCCGGAUGACUCUAAAUCUCAAUCUGGAUACAUAUUGAAAGUGGGAGAAAUUAGCUAGAGUAGCUCCGUGCAGAGCAUUAUUGACAUAGAAAUUUGCAAAAUACAUACGGAUCUGAAUUUGGCAGACCCGUUGACUAAACUUCUGUCACAAGCAAAACAUGAUCACACCUUUGUACUCUUUGGGUGUUAAUCACAUGGAGAUGUGAACUAGAUUGCUGACUCUAGUAAACCCUUUGGGUGUUGGUCACAUGACGAUGUGAACUAUGGGUGUUAAUCACAUGGUGAUGUGAACUAUUGAUGUUAAAUCACAUGGCGAUGUGAUCUAGAUUAUUGACUCUAGUGCAAGUGGGAGACUGAAGGAAAUAUGCCCUAGAGGCAAUAAUAAAGUUAUUAUUUAUUUCCUUAUAUCAUGAUAAAUGUUUAUUAUUCAUGCUAGAAUUGUAUUAACUGGAAACAUAAUGCAUGUGUGAAUACAUAGACAAACAUAGUGUCACUAGUAUGCCUCUACUUGACUAGCUCGUUGAUCAAAGAUGGUUGAGUUCCUAGCCAUGGACAUGAGUUGUCAUUUGAUUAACGGGAUCACAUCAUUAGGAGAAUGAUGUGAUUGACUUGACCCAUUCCGUUAGCUUAGCACUUGAUCGUUUAGUAUGUUGCUAUUGCUUUCUUCAUGACUCAUGCAUGUUCCUAUGACUAUGAGAUUAUGCAACUCCCGUUUACCGGAGGAACACUUUGUGUGCUACCAAACGUCACAACGUAACUGGGUGAUUGUAAAGGUGCUCUACAGGUGUCUCUGAAGGUACUUGUUGAGUUGGCGUAUUUCGAGAUUAGGAUUUGUCACUCCGAUUGUCGGAGAGGUAUCUCUAGGCCCUCUCGGUAAUGCACAUCACUAUAAGCCUUGCAAGCAAUGUGACUAAUGAGUUAGUUGCGGGAUGAUGCAUUACGUAACGAGUAAAGAGACUUGCCGGCAACGAGAUUGAACUAGGUAUUGAGAUACCGACGAUUGAAUCUCAGGCAAGUAACAUACCGAUGACAAAGGGAACAACGUAUGUUGUUAUGCGGUUUGACCGAUAAAGAUCUUCGUAGAAUAUGUGGGAGCCAAUAUGAGCAUGUAGGUUCCUCUAUUGAUUAUUGACCGGAGACGUGUCUCUGUCAUGUCUACAUAGUUCUCGAACCCGUAGGGUCCGCACACUUAAAGUUCGGUGACGAUCGGUAUUAUGAGUUUAUGUGUUUUGAUGUACCGAAGGUAGUUCGGAGUCCCGGAUGAGAUCAGGGACAUGACGAGGAGUCUUCAAAUGGUCGAGACAUAAAGAUUGAUAUAUUGGAAGGUUAUAUUCGGACACCGGAAGGGUUCCGGGGGUUACCGGAUAAAUACCGGAGUACCGGGGGUUACCGGAACCCCCUCGGGGACUUAAUGGGCCUACAUGGGCCUUAGUGGAAAUAGAGGGCAGCAAGGGGAGUGUGGGGCGUGCCCUCCCAAGGCCCAAACCGAAUUGGUUUAGGGCAAGGGGGGCCGGCCCCCUCUUUCCUUCUCCUCCUCUCCCUUUCCUUCCCCCUCUCCUACUCCUACUAGGAAAAGGAGGAGUCCUACUCCUAGUGGGAGUAGGACUCCCCCUCUUGGCGCGCCUCUCCUUGGCCGGCCACCUCCUCCCUCCCUCCUUUAUAUAUGGGGGCAGGGGGCACCCCAAGACACACAAGUUGAUCUGUUGAUCUAUUCCAGCCGUGUGCGGUGCCCCCCUCCACGAUAUUCCACCUCGGUCAUAUCGUAGCGGUGCUUAGCCGAAGCCCUGCGUUGGUAGCAACAUCAUCACCGUCAUCACGCCGUCGUGCUGACGGAACUCUCCCGUGAAGCUCUGCUGGAUUGGAGUUCACGGGACGUCAUCGAGCUGAACGUGUGCUGAACUCGGAGGUGUCGUACGUUCGGUACUUGGAUUGGUCGGAUCGUGAAGACGUACGACUACAUCAACCGCGUUGUGCUAACGCUUCCGCUUUCGGUCUACGAGGGUACGUGGACAACACUCUCCCCUCUCGUUGCUAUGCAUCACCAUGAUCUUGCGUGUGCGUAGGAUUUUUUUUUCAAAUUACUACGUUCCCCAACAACUUAUUCUCAUAAAACAACAUACAAACUCUCUAGCUAAAGCAUUUAAAUGCAACAACAAAUGCGAUCAAGAUCGCAACUAAGGUAAUAAUUGAUCCAACAGCAUAAUGAUACCAAGCCUCACUAAAUGGCAUAUUUUCUAAUCUUUCUAAUCUUCAAGCGCAUUUUCCCCAUCUUGAUCUUGUGAUCAUCGACUACAUCGGCAACAUGCAACUCCAAUUCCAUCUUCUCCUCCUCAGUUCUUUUCAAUUUUUCUUUCAAAUACUCGUUUUCAUUUUCAACUAAAUUUAACCUCUCGACAAUAGGGUCGGUUGGAAUUUCCGGUUCACAUACCUCCUAGAUAGAAAUAUCUAUGUCAACUUGAUGGGCAUAAUUUUUCAUAAACACGAAAUGCAACAAAUAGUUAUAAAAGAGAAUAUACCACAUCCGAAUCAUAAACCGGACGAGGGCCGACGGGGACGGAUAUCAAAACCAUGGCACUAUGUAUAAAAAACAACGCACGGGUAAGAUAAUUAUACAAGUAACUAUAUAUCUAAAUCACACAAACAUGAUUCUUUUAUAUAAAAAAGAUAAGAACAAGAGGCUCACCACAAGGUGGUGCCGGCGAUGGGACGGUGCGGGCGAUCGACGAUGGUUAGGACGGAGACGGGAAGGCACUAAGUAAACCACACCUACAUAUGCAAACUAAGAGUUAUUUUGAGCUCAAAUUGCAUAUAAAUCAAAUAAACUACCACAUAUAAUUCCUCCUAAACUAAAAUCCACAAAUCACUAUACUUAUAGAGCAUUGCAAGAGCUAAUCUAGCAAUGAGAGAUGAAAGGACAAAGUUGCUAACCUUUGUGAUCACUUGGAUGGAUGGGGUGCCUUCAAAUCUUGACAAAUUUUGUCAAAAAUGGAGGAUGAGCUCGAGAGGAGAGGAAGAAAACAGAGAGGAGAGGAAAGGGGAAGAACAGAGAGUUCGGGGUCGACGAAGGGUUUAUGUAGGAUGAUCUUUAGUCCCAGUUUGUUCUACAAACCGGGACUAAAGGUGCAUAUAUAGUCCCGGUUCGUGCCACGAACCGGGACUAAAGGUGUUGGUGGGGCCGCAGCUUGACACCAGCCUGCCACCACCUCUUUAGUCCCGGUUCGUGGCACGAACCCGUACUAAAGGUUCGACACGAACCGGGACUAAUGAGCGCCGCCCGCCUAGCCGUUGGAACCGGCACUAAUGGUCACAUUAGUACCGGUUCAUUUACAAACCAGGACUAAUGAGCUGAACAUUAGGCCCUUUUUCUACUAGCGUACUGGAUCACAUGGUCAACAACAAGAGACGAAUUUUCUUUGUUAACGGUCUAAGUGGCAUGGGGGAGACUUAUCUGUAUAAGGCGCUUCUUGUGAGGGUGCGGUAAAUAGGACAAGUCGCUAUUGCAACAACAACAUCUGGUACAGGAGCAUUGAUCAUGCCUGGUGGACACACCGCCCACUCCAGAUUCGAAAUCCCAAUUAGCCUCACAGACAAUAGCACAUGCAAUUUCACCAAGCAGAGUGGUACCGUCGAGCUGCUUCAUAGAGCAUCCUUGAUAAUCUGGGAUGAAGUUGCCAUGACAAAGCAUCAAGCAGUUGAGGCACUUGAUAGGUCACGACAAAGAUAUCAUGGGGUGCGAUUUUCCUUUUGGGGGGAAGGUUGUGGUGUUUGGAGAAAACUUUUAGGCAGGUCCUUCCUAUCGUGAUGCGUGGGACAAGAGCAAAAAUCAUGGAUGCAACACUACAAAGAUCUUAUCUGUAGGGAAAGUUAGGAUACGCCUGUCACGUAAUAUGAGGGCACAAACUGACCCCGGGUUCUCCAACUAUCUACUUAUAAUUGGGAAUGAAACAGAAGAGACAAUUGGUGAUGAUUGUGUGUGUCUUGCUAAUGAAAUUAUGAUAGGGUACACUUCCACAGCAAAAUCAAUGAAGAAGCUUAUCAAUGAUGUCUUCCCAUCGCUUCAUGAAAAUUUUGCAUCCGAAGCUUACAUGAGCACGCGUGCUAUUCCUUGUACCAAGAAUGAGCAUGUGGACGAGUUGAAUGGAAAGAUGAUUGACAUGUUUCUUGGCCAAGAAAAGGUAUACCAUAGCUUUGACUUUGUCAAGGAUGAUGCACACAAUAACUUCCCAAUUGACUUUCUAAACUUGGUCACCCCAAAUGGCUUGCCCUCACAUAUUCUCAAAAUCAAGGUCAAUUGUCCUGUCAUUUGCUAUGGAAUCUUGAUCCUCACAAUGGGCUAUGCAAUGGAACAAUGUUAAUGAUUAGAGCAUUUCAACAUAAUGCAAUUGACGUGGAGAUUGUUGGUGGACACCAUGCUGGAAAGAGAGUGUUCAUACCUAGGAAUCCUUUGUCACCCUCAGCCAGGGCCAACUCCAGUGUAUGGCUAGAGGGGCGACCGCCCAGGGCCCCGGCCUUGGGGGGCCAUGAUCUGGUAAGUAUGCAUGUAUGCCAUAGCAUAGUAAAAAAUAGAUAUGAAAAAUAAGAAAGGAGGAAACGAUAUGGGCUGUCCCAAUUGCUGACUGAUGGCGCUAGGAAACAGAAGCGUCGCACCCCACAUGCUUCUUCAAUCGUGAAUUCAGGAUCGUUUCGUCGCCCUCGUUGCCUGCAACUGCGCUUGCGAUUCUCCUCUGCGCUGCGUGCCGCAGUUCACUGCCUGGCCGAGGCGUCGAGCACCCGGCGGCCACUCAGGUACUCACGUCCGGCCGGCCGCGAGACCUCGCGACCAUGAGUUUGUCAUCAAGUACUCCAAGUGCAUUUAAUCCCCCGCAAGGUUGAGGCUUUAUUGGUUCCUCUUUUCACUUCAAUUUUUGGGAGAGGUUAAGUUUUCAUAUUUGUUGCUUCAAAAUUCCCCAGCCCGUGAGCAGGGGUUUUUGUCCUCUCAUUGUAGGAAUAUUGUUGAUGUUGGUUAAUAUAUAAACUUCUCGUCACAAGAAAGAUCUGUGAAGGCAUGAUUUUUAUUUUUGCUCUAUCAGAAUUGAAUUAUCUCAAAGAAUGAAGUUUACCCCCAGCAGUCCAGUAUAUCUACAUAUUCUACAUAUAUUGUUGGAGCAUGAUUGUGAGCCUCUUGCUAGCAUCAUGAUUUCCAAGGGCGAUGUACAAGCUUAAUUUUUACAAAACAGUUGAUUCUUCAUUUGAUUGGAUCCAUUAUUUGAACGGUCUUGCGCACAUGGCCAUGACAAAGAUGUGCAUUUUGCGAAUUCGUCUCAAACCAGAAAAAGCUUGCUAAAUACAUUCAGAGAACCAAAAAGGAAAUUUUAAUGGCACUUGAGUACAUUAUAAAAAAGGUUUAUUUUAUAUAAAUAAUAGCUUCCUAGGACGAAUGUAAUUUUUUCGCUUGGCUAAACGUGCAUUGCACGUGCACGCUUACUGGUUUGUAUAGUUGUAGAAUAUUUGUUUUGACAAAAUUCUAUAUCAAAUACGCACCCACCAAGCGGCAGGCGUGGUGAGCAAUCUUCAAACCACUAAAAAAUACGCACCCACAAAUUAACACAUCCUGGCACCAUGAAAACAUUUUUUUUUGUAUACUAUAAUAUAGUUGAUCUGAUGGGCCUCACAUUUAUCUUGCGAACGAUGAUUGGCCCUUAAAUGGGUGAGCACACAUACCAAGAGUGUAAGGGUAUUUGCAAUGCUGACCCUCAAAUCGGUCAGCGUAUCCGUCUGGGUACCUUUCGGGACCAGUCCGCACACUAAUAUGGGAGCCUGCCAUUCAAAGCUAGCCGCAAAUGUCCGUAGACAUAUCAAACAGAAUUUAACAAAAAUAAACAAAUUUGAUGCAAAUUUAAACAAACCAGACGAUUUUCAUUCAAACAUGGAUAGCUUUUACAUAAAAUCAGACGAUAUUUCGUCUGGUGAACUAAAACUCAAAAAAACCUGAAACUACCAUAUACUUGACGGUGACCUCAUACGUGAUGCCGCGCUGGCCGGCGACACCUCCGUCAUCAUCACCAUCGUCUGAGUCAUCAGAGUCGUGCUCGGGUGGCGGUAGGGCGCGGUGUCGCAGCAAGGCUUUCCUGCCGCAGCCUGCCACUCGGGGAUGAUCUUCUCUGCUUGCUCCUGCGUGCAGUGCGGUGCGGCCAGCUGGGCAGGGGAGAGGCGGGCGGCUGCGUCGGUGCUCUCGCGAAGAGACCACUCCUAGCCUUAUUUCGCCAUCUCAUCAUCGAGGCGGAAGAGACUUGCUCGUCUCCACCGUGGUCUUCGACCGGUCGAGGGCCCAGGACAUUGCGAGUUCCACCUCCACGAGGAUUUGUGGAAGUGGGUCGUCGUAGUCCGUGAACAUUGCCUGGCGUGUGGCACUGCACUUGUCCCGCUGCCGAUGCUCCUUGUCCAUGUUCUCCUGCAUCACCAUGGAACCCCAAGAGGACAAGCUACCACCACCGCUGCCUCUACAGCCGCCACCGAGGCAGUGCAGUAUGCGACCACGCGCCGCCACCAGUGCGGCUAGGCGGUGGCGAGAGAUCCUCCUCCUUGACAACAUGACAUCUGAUUUGGAUGUCGAGGUUGCGCGGGGAGGGAGAAGAGGCUCCGGGUUGAUAGCACGGAGAAGCGUCUCCGGUGGCAUUGCCGGACCGAUGUCAUGGACGAGCGAGUGAUGGAGCGUCAGCUCCAUAUGUUGCUGGUACUUGGUGUCCCUUGCCGCAUACAUUGCAUCCUGUGAGAGGACGUCCGGACCUAUCUACAUAUGGAUACUAGACUGUAUUGGAUCACAAAACACGUCCGAACCAUAUGGUCUACGUUGGAAAUGGCCUAAACUGGUUUCACGAAAGUCGUACAGGAGAUAUGGACAGGUAGAUACAAGAACAUGAUUUCACUAUCACACGUCAUAUUUUUGUCUUCCUAAAGAAAAUAACAAGGAAAACGUUUGGGAACGGCGAGCCGGCGGAAGUUUGGGUCGGCCGCCUCACGCACGCUUCCCGUGCGUUUCAUUUUUCGAGCGACGUGUAACAUUGUGGCCCCUGUUUCUGCCUUAGAGCAAGUAUAAUAGAGCUGAGUCAGCUGGCUAUAAAGAUUAAACUAGUAUAUUUCUGCUUACUUGAAGGAAAGAGAAGAGGAGAGAGAAGGUAAGCGGGUUUUUCGUGAAGAGCCAGCUCUAGCACAUGCUCAUAGGUACUUUGUGAGAAUGAAAGAUGAGCCACUUAAUAAAAAUGUAGUACACUCUUUUGAUCUAUUAUUAUACAUGUUGGCUAUAAGAUGGGUUGUUGACGACAUGGCACUGGCUUAUAGCCAACAACUAGCUAUAUUAUUAACCAUGCUCUUAUCUCUUCCUCGUCCACUUCCUUUCUUCACAGCGCCGCAGUCCUUUCCCCAUCUCUCUGUAGCAAGCCAAGCACCACAUCCUUCAUUUUUUCCGAUCCCGUCGACCUGCUGCUCCGGUGAGCUAACUCCUCACCUCAUUAGCUCCCUUUCCUCCCCCGAGAGUCGUUCACCUCAAGUUUCCCGCCAUGGAACUUCUUACCUGGUACUUCCAUGGCUCCAGUAGCAGCACUGUUGCUUCCAUUGAGGUGCUCCACACCAAAUCGAGGGGGAGUGGGUGGGGUGGGGGUGGGGGGAGGGGGCAACACCGGCAAGCUCCUUCGGUGGGCGCAAUGGUCAUGCGCCACCCUCCUCUCGUCCUCCUCUGGUCAUUGCGCACUCCCAGCUCCUCCACCGCACGGUCGUGUUACGACCACACACCGGCCGUGCUACAAUCGGUGACCGGUCGUGCUACAACCGACGCCCCGAUUUGCUACAAGGGGUGACAAUUAUUUUGUGGCAGCGACGACGGUCCUGAGAUUUGCUGCAACCGACACCAGUAAAGUUACCAAUGGCGGCUGAAUUUGCUACAACCACGCGAUGACAACCAUGCCAGUCGGCAACAGUGCCACGUUUUUUCUGCAACAGGCAACCGGGAAAGCUACCACCGGCGCCCGGAUUUGCUACAUCCAUCCCCGGCGACGCGACGUGCUAGAAACCAGCGCCCAAUGUUGCUGGAACCGGAGCGUGCCCUCACCAGUGACUUUUUUUUUGCUGGAACCAGCGCAAUUUUUUACUGGAACUAGCUAGUUCGUUUGCUAAAAUUGAACUUUUUGGAGUUUGCUAUUGUGACUUUUUUUGGAACCAUUGUUAAUUUUGGCUGGAACUGGCUGUUGUUUUUGCUUCAAUAGACCAUCAUUUUUUUUUCGCUGCAACCGGGUAGCGACGGAGCACCGUGAGCUCACCGGUGGUGGCUGGUUGCAUGCGCGUCCAUGGAUGGAGUCGGCGACGCUAGCUGCCUUGUCCUCUCCCCACACGGGGGCACGUUGAUCUGAUUUUUUGGGGAAAAGUCAAAGGUAGGAAAGCCGGAUCCGACGGUUGGAAAUUUCCAUAUCAGACGCACGGGGCGCGACCGGCCGAAAUUUGCACCGGCGCCUAGGACUCGCCAAAGAACAAGCCCUAAUUUGGUGACACACGUGAUGUCAUAUCAACAUAAUAAGCCACAUAAGAGUAAGGAUUUGGAUGUGCAAUGACGACAGGAUUUGCUAAAAGUAUUACACCCUUUAUCAAAAAAAAUAGUACGUGCACAACCAGAUUGUAGAAGGACAAGUAUGGGCUGUGCAAUCGCAAUGCAUUGAUCGGUGCACCAGGCACGUAUAUAUGAGUACAGAGGGGGGCCAUAACCUCGACUAUACAGAGAAACUAGGAGCUGGGCCCAAUACACAAUAUAUAUGUACACAAUAUACUCAACACAGAUCAUUCAUACAAGGAAAUAAAUACUGGAUAACUAAUUACAAUUCGGAAAUACGCAAAUACAGACAUAGGAGAUAUAAAUCCGACAUUCCUAACCCGCAGACGUAAUUUGCCACCAAAAUUCGGAAAGUUUUCUUAAGGGAAAAGAAUCAUCUUACUUGAUUUAAUGAGGGUUCAUAAUAUGGGAACCUCUACUGAAUAAUUCCAAUUGUAUUGCUUGAUGUUUACUGCAUGGGAUCAGGGUUACCGAUCCUCUCUCGUCUCAAUCUCUAUAUAUAUACACGAUCCAUCCAGUGUGUUGAUUGGUAGCAAAAUAUUUCUCAUCGACAACCAAGUGAUCGAGUGCCUGCCUAGCAGCCCUAGUGUUGCACCGGCCGGCAGGGUAUGGACAAGUACAUGAUUCGCAUCCUUGCACUAGCAGCCCUAGUGUAUCUACACCUCGUAUGCUCCGCUACCGUUGCUCAAUGUAAGGCCAUUAAGAUCUCUUUUGCUUCUUGUCUACUAAUUCGCUGUGUCGUUUGUUUAUAGCACUCUAAAAUAAUUGCAUAACGACGAUGUAAGUGCAGCGACAGUGGCUGACACGGACGGCAAGAAGAUCAAUAUACCAAACGGGUUGUGCGUUGAGAUGGGUCCUGACGACUGCAGCGACAGUGGGAACUGCUUCCGUUGUUUGGUGAAGAAGGCCUACUACGACACUAUGCGUGAGUGCAAGACAGAGUGUAAAAAAGCAUACUGAGUGCAAGACAUGCUGGUGGCCAUGACGACGUCUCCUCCUCCUCCUCCUCCUUUACCCGCUCCUUAAUUUUACAACCUGAUGUGCCGAUGGAAAUACAGCUGCUCAAUAAAAUCGAGUAAUACUCCAGCUUGCAGUUGUUGCUGAGUACUCCUCUGUAAAGAAAUAGUAUAAGAGUGAUCACGCUCUUAUAUUUCUUUUCGCAAAUUGCAAUUGCACUUUUACUAGCUAGAAAUUGUUGGCGGCUAAGUUGUAGUAAUACACCCUAGGUAUGUAAUGUGACUAUGUGAGGUCUAAACCAGAAGCACUUUUCUUGGAUACAUGUGCAGAGAAUACUGCAGAAAAGAGGCGAUGAGUGGGUCACUUGAAAACUGGGUUUGAUGAGAACAUGUCUGGAUGAUGAUUAUAAUUAGAAGGGUUGGGUUGGGACUGUAAAAGGUAAAUUAACAAGUUUCUUCAGUCUCUCUCUAUGCUUGGCAAGUUUCUUCACCCCCAACCUUUGCCCAGCACCCCAGCAGGGACGAGCUUAAAUACACAAGCCUCUCCCUAUAAUCACCAACCAUGACAAGUGGGAGACUACAUGAUCAAGGCUUUUGUGGGACCCAGGGCCCUAGCGAGCUCUUUAUUAUUACAAAACAUGUACAUAUUACAAUCCAUAAGUACUAGAAGAGAACAAGAAUAAUGAUUAACACAAGUAGACCCCCCACCCCCGCGUCGCCAACCAUAGGCGACACGGGCGACGAUCGCGCCGCCGGCCCUAGGCCUCCUCCCCUCGUCUCCUUCAUCCUGUCGCCGCCUGAGGUCUCAUCGGCGAAGCCUGGCCUAUGAUGGCGGCGGCGGGGCCUUAUCCCUCGCGCGGUCGUGGCGAUAUCUCCGGGCGGCGGCGGCGCAUGGUACAACGGAGAUCCGGCAGCAAGGAGCGGCGGGAUCCCUUCGGCGUGUGUGACGGCGGCGUCAGCGGAGGCGCGACCUACCCACGGCGGAGGCGCCCCUGUGGCGGCGGCCGGGAUCGCGGGUCUUGUCUUGCCCAGAUUGGGCGGGCCGACGGUUUCGGUGUGCAUCUAUAGGCAAGCGUGGUGGGCAGUAGGAACCGUGGUGGUGCCAUGGCCGGUCAGGCGGCGGCAGCCUCGAUCCCUUUUGUCUAGUCCCCGGCAGAGAUGGCGGCAGUCCGUGCGCGAGAUGCUUGAGGGAGGCUCUUCGAACAGAUCUGGGUGAAAACCUGAUGUCGGCUAGCUGCCAAGGCCGACGGUGGCGGCGCUGCCUCCGUCGUUCCCUUCUUGAAGGCAUCACCGUUGAGAAGUUCAAGGCCACUCUACGCUACCUCCGGGGGAAACCCUAGAUCAGUAGAUCAGAUGACGGCGGCGCUAUGGUGUCGUUUCCCUCUUGAGGGCGUCAUUCGCGGAGGUGUACACGGGCUGAGGGACCAGUGCAAGGCUUCUUUGGUGGAGCAGUGCUUCAGCUUACACAUUGAUGGCGGCGGUGAAGGAAAUAUGCCCUAGAGGCAAUAAUAAAGUUGUUAUUUUAUAUUUCCUUAUUCAUGAUAAAUGUUUAUUAUUCAUGCUAGAAUUGUAUUGGUCAAAAACCUAAAUACAUGUGUGAAUACAUAGACAAAUACUGUAUCCCUAGUGAGCCUCUACUUGACUAGCUCGUUGAUCAAAGAUGGCUAAGGUUUUCUAACCAUGGACAUGAGUUGUCAUUUGAUAACGGGAUCACAUGGACAAGACCCAUCAGUUAGCUUAGCAUUAUGAUUGUUCAGUUUUAUUGCUAUUGCUUUCUUCAUGUCAAAUACAUAUUCCUUCGACUAUGUUUAGCAAGUUUCUUCAAUCUCUCUCUAUGCUUGGCAAGUUUCUUCACCCCAAAAAUAACAAAUUUGGCGUCAACACGGUAUAAUCGACGUCGCUCAUAUACAUGGACAUACACUAUCCUUAUAAAUGCACGCACACGCCUUAUCCGUGAGCAUCUUCGAGAGACGGGCGUGGUGAGCAAUCUUCAAAAAUCAUUAAAAAAAUGCGCACCCACAAAUUAACACAUGCUGGCACCAUGAAAACAAUUUUUGUGUGUGUAUAAUUUAUUCGAUCUGAUGGGCCUCACGUUUCUCUUUGACCGUUAAUUAAAUGGGCGGGGCCGCAUGACAACAGUGUAACUGGGUUCACAAAAGUCGUACAGGAGAUAUGGACAGGUAGAUACAACGACAUGAUUUCACUGUCAUGCUUUAUAUUUUCGUCUUCAUAAAGAAAAAAACGAGCCCCCCAAUUUGUUGGGACACCUCAGACACGUGAUGUCAUCUCGGAGUACACCAUUUUUCUAAAAACAAAUGUAACGUGCACAACCAGAUCAUGUAUACAAGUCAAUAAAUAUUGGAUACUUAAUUACAAUUCGGGAAUAUGCAAAUAUAGACAUAGUAGGAGAUAUAAAUCCGACAUUCCUAACCCGCAUACGUAGUUUUUCACCAAGAUUCCGAAACUUGUCUUACAAAGGGAAAAAGAUCAUCUUACUUGAUUUAUGCUUUUAAUGAGGGUUCAUAAUAUGGGAAGACACUGAAUAAUUCCAACUUUAUUGCUUGAUGUUUACUCUUGUCUCAAUCUUCUCCCUAUAUAUACACGAUCCAGUCCCUUCGGGGACAUCCGAUAUACACGAUCCAGUCAUAUGUUGAUUGGUAGCAAAAUAUUUCUCCUCCACAACCAAGUGAUCGAGUGCCUGCCCAUUGCACUAGCAAACGUACAGGAGGUAUGGACAAGCACACGAUUCGCAUCCUUGCACUAGCAGCCCUAGUGUCUCUACACCUCGUGUGCUCCCCUACUGUUGCUCAAUGUAAGACCAUUAAAAUCUCUUUUGCUUCUUGUCUAAUCCGCUGCGUCGUUUAUUUCUACCACUCUAAAAUAAUUGCAUAACGACGAUUGUUCGUUUGUUACUGCUCCAUGAUAUACAGGCCGAAUCAUGACCGGCGCGGACAGCGAGAAGAUCAAGCUGCCAAAUGGGCUUUGCAUUAAAGUAGGGCACGAGGACUGCAAAAUUAGUGGGCUUUGCUUCCGCUGUUUGGUAAUAGAGGACGGCUUCUACGACACUAUGCGUGUGUGCAAGAGAGAGUGUAAAAAAAACUCGUCUUCGCAAGAUACGCUGGUGGCGCCAUGACGAUGUCCCCUCCUUUACCUGCUCCUUGAUUUAACGGCCUAGCUAGUCAACAAAUUGGCUUAUGUACUUACAAGAUUGUCCCAAGAAAUAAUGCCUGACGUGCCUGUUGUUGCCGAGUGUUUUGGUUUGGCAAAUUGCGCUUGAACUUUUACUACCAUUUGAAAGCA
rnacentral:lncRNA from 1 species